rnacentral:lncRNA from 1 species
AACCCCUGGCCUCAGUGUUGAUGAAAGUUGUGGUUGAACCCAACUGAUUAAAGUCAGCCUUACUGCUUUCUGUAUCCACUAGACUCUAAUUCCUGGUAGCUGUGUGUUGCUGUCAGUCUAGGAUGAGAUUUGGUAGGUUCCCAUACUAUUUUCUCUUACAAUUUGAUGGUAUUCUAUGAUGCUGGAAAUCAUAUCCUUGGAGUGACGUUGGUG